CCCAUUGCCCCAAAAUUAACCCUUAGCCCAACACCCCUACCCUUUAAUUAAACCCUAGACAUCUACAUAUAAGGACCUAGCAGCUAAAAAUAAAGGGAGGAGAUAUAGACCUACGCCUAAAAAAAAUACAUAAUCGCAUCCGCCGUUUUUCCAGGGAGCUUGGACGCAAACAGAUCUAGACAAAAAAAGAAGCUGCUACUUCUUCUUCUUAAAAACAAAAAUUAGACCUAAUACUAAGGAGCUUCAGCCGCUAGAACACUAAGGAAGCCCACCCCCCACGUAGCUUCUCCAUCGUCUUCUUCAUGGAGACAGCAAGAAAACUCCAUUGAAGCUCCCCGCCAUCGCUGACCAGCGACAACCAACAAGCAGCUGCUACUGCUUCUUUAACUCACUCACGACUGCCACAACAACCAAAACGUAGCCUUCUCUCUCAUUUUUUCUGUCGCUCCUCCGUCACCGGCGAGGUUCCUAUGCUAUCGAGGUCGUGUUCGAAUUCCGUCGUGGAUCCCAGUCGGAUUUGUUAUAGGUCCUUCAAAGGAGGUUCUUCUUAUAUAAUCUAAAGAUUUGUUAUUAAAGUCAUCUUAUUCCUUACUUAUUCAAUAUUGUUACAUGUUUGUUUUGUUUUGAUGUUUAAGUAUUUCAAGCUAGAUUCGUUUAUGUGUUCUUUAUUACUUUAAAUUUGUUUAUUGAUAUUUUGGUAGUUUCAGAAGUGGGAAUUUUGGUCCUACAUACACAUGCUGAGUCCAAGAGUAUAGUCCUUUUAAGUUUGAUUUAAAUUUCAAUAUAUUAAUAGCAAAAACAAGACCAAAUGAUCUGAAGUCCCACCGAAAGAAGUUUGAUAAUAUAAGAAAAUGCGUGUUAAAGGGACGAGCUCCUUAUCUUAGAAAAAUUGAUCUAAAAUGUAUAAGGGAUAUUUAGAACUACUUAAGGCGUUGGAAAACAUGUUCAAACUCAACAUAGGUGAAUACUCAGAAAGGAAAGGGUAUAAAGGGUCAGAAUUUGCACCUGCUUACGAAGUUAAAGAUGGUGACUUAAUGCUUGUUGGUGAUGUUCCAUGUGAUGAAAAUCUCUUCAUUUUUGGUUGUGAUUUUUUUUGUACAAUUAUAAACUGUAACUUCGUUCAAUUAGUCAGGUGCAUAAGUGAUAAAUGAAGUUCUACGUCAUUUCUCAUCAAAUGUUUCUACAAAGAAGAUCAUUUCGGACCUUUAGCUCUUUCGGUUCACUUUUCUUUGUGUGAUAGGCAGGACUAGAUAAAGUUUUAAGAUGUCGAGAUGAGGUGUUUUAAUUUCGUAGUUUGCUUUAGGUGUGUUAAUAAAAUAAAGUGUCAUAGCUACGGGUACGGUUCCCGUGACGAAGUUGUUACGCACAAUUUCCAAACCGGGGUAUGCAUUUCAUGUGACCCGUCUUCAAUUUCCAACAAGGCUAAAUAGAACGUGUCGUGAACCACGGGCACAUUUCAUGUAGCGUGGCUUACGAUGUAUUUUAAAUAACCUUGAAUUUUUCUGAAAUAAUAAAAGCGGUUUAAAAGUUAAAAAAUGCACAUAGGUUUCAAAGAUGUUUUAAAAUCAAAUAAAUAGGCCAAUAAUAACAGUUGAGCAACCGUGCUAGAACCACGGAACCCGGGAAUGCCUAACACCUUCUCCCGGGUUAACAAAAUUACUUACCCUGAUUUCUGUGUUCGCGGACUAUAAGACAGAGUCAAUCUUUCCUCAAUUCGGGAUUUAAAACCGGUGACUUGGGACACAAUAAAUUAUAUCAAGUGGUGACUCUGAAUUUUAAAUAAAAUAAUCCCGUUUCGAUUGUCACUUAAAUUAGAAAAAACUCCCUUAUAUCCUCUCGGGUGUGUAGAAAGGAGGUGGACAGCUCUGGCGACUCUACUGGGAUUAGAACUCAAAACUUCUGGUUCAGGGCUCAGAAUUCGAGCUUAGAAUAGUUGUUAUAUUUGGCUUUUAUUUAUUAUCUGGUUUUAAUUACGUGUUUGGGCCUAAUGUGCUAAAUGUUGUUUUUUACCGCUUUGAUAUUAUAUGAACUGUAUAUAAACUGCUACGCAACCCUUCUCUUCUCAUUUCGGGGAUGUGCACACUGGCGUGACUCCUCUUCUGUUAGUGUCAUACCUUAAAUUAGGAAGAGGCUCGGACAAGUUACAAAGUCUGAUGGCCUUUUGGUUCCUGGUACGUAGCCCCCCCUUCGGCUCGAGUUGUCCGCUCGGGUACACAAGUCUACAACAACAUACCCAGAUUUUGAACUUAGAAUAACUCAGCCUCAUGCCGGAUCCCUAGUAGGAAUGUUUAUUUGCAUCAUGUGCAUUUGACUUUGGGGACUCAACACAGGGGUUGAGUCCAUCUAGGACAGGUGUAUCCAAAAUAAUAGACCAUCUUGAUGCAUCCUAUGUACUACAUAUUGCAUUUCUCCAAGGGUAAAAGGGUCAUUUGGCAGACCAAUGAUAAUUGAGGGCGAGUGAAAAAAAAAAAAAGAGGGUGAAGUGUGAGAAUAAAGCAAGUAGGGCCCAGUUAUGUUUUAUGUCACACUUUUGUUAAGAAAAAGACAAAAAAAAUAUGAAAAAUUCAAAAAGAUUUUGUACUUUUUUUUAUCAUUUCCCGAAAAUCAGAAAAUCAAAAAAAAGGAAAAAGGAAAAAAAUCCAAAAAGAGUUUACAUGUUUCAUCAUUUUUUUUAAAAAAAGGACAAAAAAAUAUUUUUUCUAAAUUAGUUGCCUUUUUAAAUCUUGUCUGUAUCCGAUCUGCCCGAACUACGCGAACCUGAUUCUCAUCUCUCGGGGCGGGAUACGUAGGCAACUCACAUAGGGUCCGGCCUUCCUAGUAAAUCUUAGGUUCUUGGCUUUACGGGGUCUUAGCCAGAUUUUGCACUUCUAGCCACCUUUUGGCCAAAUAAGCCAUUUUACAAAAAUAAUCACAAUUAUGUCUUGCAUGUGUCCAACAGGAAGGGUUAUUGUCUCACAUAGCGUUCCAGGUCUUUAACUUUAUUUGGUCUUAAUUUUCUCAUAGGUAUGGAUCUACUUACCGAAGUUUGAGCAUGACAGAGCCCAGGACCAUUUAGU
rnacentral:lncRNA from 1 species